AAUCUCGUGAACCAUCGAGUCUUUGAACGCAAGUUGCGCCCGAAGCCUUCGGGCCGAGGGCACGCCUGCCUGGGCGUCACGCAUCGCGUCGCCCCCUCCCUCCAGGAGCGGGGGUGCGGAGAAUGGCCUCCCGUGCGCUCCCGCCGCGCGGCCGGCCC
rnacentral:rRNA from 1 species